rnacentral:rRNA from 1 species
UACGUAGGGGGCUAGCGUUGUCCGGAAUCAUUGGGCGUAAAGAGCGUGUAGGCGGCUUGGUAAGUCCGCUGUGAAAGUCCAGGGCUCAACCCUGGAAAGCCGGUGGAAACUGUCAAGCUUGAGUCCGGAAGAGGCGAGUGGAAUACCUGGUGUAGCGGUGAAAUGCGCAGAUAUCAGGAGGAACACCAAUGGCGAAGGCAGCUCGCUGGGACGGUACUGACGCUGAGACGCGAAAGCGUGGGGAGCAAACAGG